UACGAAGGGGGCUAGCGUUGCUCGGAAUCACUGGGCGUAAAGCGCACGUAGGCGGCUUCUUAAGUCAGGGGUGAAAUCCUGGAGCUCAACUCCAGAACUGCCUUUGAUACUGAGAAGCUUGAGUCCGGGAGAGGGAUGCGGAAUUCCAGGUGUAGCGGUGAAAUGCGUAGAUAUCUGGAGGAACACCGGUGGCGAAGGCGGCAUCCUGGACCAACACUGACACUGAGGAGCGAAAGCCAGGGGAGCAAACGGG
rnacentral:rRNA from 1 species